rnacentral:rRNA from 1 species
AGAUUGAACGCUGGCGGCAGGCCUAACACAUGCAAGUCGAGCGGUAGAGAGGUGCUUGCACCUCUUGAGAGCGGCGGACGGGUGAGUAAUGCCUAGGAAUCUGCCUAGUGGUGGGGGAUAACGUUCGGAAACGGACGCUAAUACCGCAUACGUCCUACGGGAGAAAGCGGGGGACCUUCGGGCCUCGCGCCAUUGGAUG